rnacentral:rRNA from 1 species
AUUGAACGCUGGCGGCAGGCCUAACACAUGCAAGUCGAACGGUAACAGGAAGAAGCUUGCUUCUUUGCUGACGAGUGGCGGACGGGUGAGUAAUGUCUGGGAAACUGCCUGAUGGAGGGGGAUAACUACUGGAAACGGUAGCUAAUACCGCAUAACGUCGCAAGACCAAAGAGGGGACCUUCGGGCCUCUUGCCAUCGGAUGUGCCCAGAUGGGAUUAGCUUGUUGGUGGGGUAACGGCUCACCAAGGCGACGAUCCCUAGCUGGUCUGAGAGGAUGACCAGCCACACUGGAACUGAGACACGGUCCAGACUCCUACGGGAGGCAGCAGUGGGGAAUAUUGCACAAUGGGCGCAAGCCUGAUGCAGCCAUGCCGCGUGUAUGAAGAAGGCCUUCGGGUUGUAAAGUACUUUCAGCGGGGAGGAAGGGAGUAAAGUUAAUACCUUUGCUCAUUGACGUUACCCGCAGAAGAAGCACCGGCUAACUCCGUG